rnacentral:rRNA from 1 species
UAAGCAUAUCAAUAAGCGGAGGAAAAGAAACCAACCGGGAUUGCCUCAGUAACGGCGAGUGAAGCGGCAAGAGCUCAAAUUUGAAAGCUGGCCCCUUCGGGGUCCGCGUUGUAAUUUGCAGAGGAUGCUUCGGGUGCGGCCCCUGUCUAAGUGCCCUGGAACGGGCCGUCAGAGAGGGUGAGAAUCCCGUCUUGGGCAGGGUGCCCGUGCCCGUGUGAAGCUCCUUCGACGAGUCGAGUUGUUUGGGAAUGCAGCUCUAAAUGGGUGGUAAAUUUCAUCUAAAGCUAAAUACCGGCCGGAGACCGAUAGCGCACAAGUAGAGUGAUCGAAAGAUGAAAAGCACUUUGAAAAGAGAGUUAAACAGCACGUGAAAUUGUUGAAAGGGAAGCGCUUGCGACCAGACUCGGCCCCGGGGUUCAGCCAGCACUCGUGCUGGUGUACUUCCCCGGGGGCGGGCCAGCGUCGGUUUGGGCGGCCGGUCAAAGGCCCCAGGAAUGUAUCGCCCUCCGGGGUUGUCUUAUAGCCUGGGGUGCAAUGCGGCCAGCCCGGACCGAGGAACGCGCUUCGGCACGGACGCUGGCGUAAUGGUCGCAAACGACCCGUCUUGAAACACGGACCAAGGAGUCUAACAUCUACGCGAGUGUUCGGGUGUCAAACCCGUGCGCGCAGUGAAAGCGAACGGAGGUGGGAGCCCCCCCGGGGCGCACCAUCGACCGAUCCUGAUGUCUUCGGAUGGAUUUGAGUAAGAGCGUAGCUGUGGGGACCCGAAAGAUGGUGAACUAUGCCUGAAUAGGGCGAAGCCAGAGGAAACUCUGGUGGAGGCUCGCAGCGGUUCUGACGUGCAAAUCGAUCGUCAAAUUUGGGUAUAGGGGCGAAAGACUAAUCGAACCAUCUGGUAGCUGGUUCCUGCCGAAGUU